AAUGCAGGAUUACAAUGUGGUGCUUUUGAGCUCUCCUUCGCAUACCUUUCUCCCUCCCCCCCCUAAAAACCCGUCCACUCUCGACUUGGUGUUUGCCUCUCCGGACGUGGCGCCGCUCGUGGAGUGCACCGUCCACGAUGAUCUCUGUGGAAGCGAUCACCUUCCCAUUUUUAUUUCCAUCAAUAAGAUGUAUGACUCGGUGGAGUCUUUCUCUUGCAAGCGCCGGAUCGCCCCUAAACAAUGGAAAGUCAUUGAAGAAAAUCUAUCCCUCCUGUCGGAAUCCCUGAUCAAGAAAAUCAGCGAAAUCUCUAUCUGUGAUCCGUUGGCUAAAUACCAAACAUUUUUCUCUGAGGUAGAGGAAGUGGUGAAUAAAGUCUGCCCCCCUCCGCGUAACUGUAGUGGCAGAUUCUCUUAUAAUAAGGGAUCUCGUCGAGGUUCUCCCCCAGCUCCCUGGUGGAGCGCGGAAUGCGCUGAGGCGAUUAGUAGAAGGAAAGCAGCCUAUAGAGAAUAUCGACAUAAUCCGACAGUAGAAAACUACGACCUCCUUAAGAAGCAGAUCAAUGAUUCUCGUCAAGUCCUUAGACUGGCCAAAAGAAAUGGCUGGAGAGAAUAUUGUGCAUCCCUCGGUCCCCUUACCCCCUCUACGGAAGUCUGGGCGAUGAUUAAAAGAUUUCGCAAUAAGCGACUCGUCUCCCCGGCUAUGAACUCAAAUAAGUCCGGCAAGAAGGAAUUAGAUCCCGUGCUCAUAGAAGCCAUGGACAAACUGUGUCCUCCCUCCUGCUCUACCCCCCCUCUCACCUUUAAUAGUGUGCCGGGAAACCCCCAUGAGUGGAUUGAUAGCCCUUUCACUUUUCAGGAGUUUUUGACUGCCAUCACCGUCAGUAAACGCAAAUCAAGUCCCGGGAUGGAUCGCAUUGAUUAUGCAUUAAUUCGAGCCCUCCCUAGGAGCUUACUUCUUACACUGCUAGACAUUGUCAACUCAUUAUUCAGCGAGGGGGUGUUUCCGAGUUCUUGGCAGCACUCUCUUGUACAUCUUAUUCCGAAACCCCAGGGUAAAGGUUAUCGCCCUAUUGCUUUAACGUCUUGUGUUUUAAAGUUAGUUGAAAAGAUGCUACUUAAUCGAAUUCAUUGGCUAAUGGAAAAUCAGGUGUUGCUUCCUGAAUUUCAGUUCGGAUUCCGCAGCUUUCGAUCCUGUUUAGACAAUCUAACCAUACUAACGGCAGAUAUACAGUCGGGAUUUCUCCAGCAGAAGCAUACGGCCGCGUUGUUUAUAGAUGUAAAAUCUGCUUUUGAUAACGUGCAACCCAACUUACUCUUGCAGGAACUAGUUGCCCUCAACAUUCCUCCAAAAUCGUUAACCUUUAUAGCAAACUUGAUCUCUAGUAGAACAGUGCAAUUUGUAGCACAGGGGCGUCUGCACCCAGAGCGGAUCUCGCGGAAGGGCACCCCCCAGGGAGCUGUACUGAGCCCGACCCUAUUUAAUCUCUAUCUUCGUAAGAUAGCUUCGGCCCUCCAUCCGGAUACUAAGAUCAUUCAGUUUGCGGAUGAUAUCAUGAUAUACUCCACCUCUUCUGAUCCGAACCGUGCAAUGCGGUCUAUACAGAUCUCCUUGGAGAAUAUAGGGGACUUCCUACAGCAACUUGGUCUCGAAAUUUCUCCUGAUAAGACACAGCUCAUGAUGUUCUCGCGUUCCCUCAAAGUAGCUAAUUCGAAACAUACAAUAGCUUAUAAAGGAACAAAUAUUAGCUCUUCGUCCUCCGCUAAAUUUCUUGGCGUGAUUUUGGAUCCAGGUUUGACAGGAAAAUCCCAUCUGGAAUAUAUAAAUCAUAAAGUACGGAAAAUCUCACAGGUACUGUCCAUGUUGCGGGGAGUCUGGUGGGGCUCGCCCCCGCAAAUGCUCCUUACGGUCUAUCGUGCCUUAUGCAGAAGUGUUAUGGAAUAUGCAAGUCAAAUAUUUUGCUUGGAGCACUCUAGAGCUCGGCAGAAACUCGAGGUCGCCCAACAUGCGGCUCUCCGCACUUGUCUUGGACUGCGCAUUUCCACUCCCCUUAAUGUCCUUUUUGCCGAAGCGCGUGAACCUCCCUUUAAACUCAGGGUGCGGUAUUUGGCUGCUAGAUACUUAUACAAGAUCAUCUCUAUUACCGAUCAUCCGGUGACUGAAAAAUUGGAAAAUCUUAUGGUUCUGACCAACUCCCCUGCUAGACGUUUAUAUGUAGCUAAAAAUUUCCCACUGAUCCCAAUCUUCCGUCAAAUGCAACAUCACAAGCAGGUUAUACAUCACACAGUGAUACUACCAAAAUAUAGCUACUCCUAUGAAUCCAUGUUUGCCUUUCCGGAGGUACAUUACUUUCCUGAGGAACUCCUACCACUCUUAAACGACUCUCCUGCUUCAGCAGCGCAGUCAGUCUUUCUUGAAACCUUUCAGAAAUUCUUAGAACAUGCGAUAGUUUUUUACACGGAUGGAUCCAGGGUUGAUGAAAGCUCGUGCGUGGGUGCCGCGUGGCACUCCCCUCAGCUUGGAUUGGAGAUCAUGGACAAGCUUCCACACCAUGCCUCAGUCUUUUCGGCCGAGGCGUGGGCAAUAUACAACGUAAUUAUUUCCCUGAAAGAAUAUGGUAUCGACGACGCGGUUAUAGUUUCGGAUGCAAAGAGUGUACUGCAGGCCUUGGAGGGCUCGGUUCUAUACAAAAAUAAUUAUUUGAUCCCACGCAUUAAGGCAGAGCUGGAGAAGGCAGGUCGCGAAGGGAUUAGAGUACGGCUUAUUUGGGUACCAUCGCACAGGGGUAUAUCCGGCAACGAGCGGGCGGAUGUACUUGCGAAGAGAGCCAUUGAGGAGGGUAGAAGCAACUUUUUUAGGGUUCCCCUUUCGGAUUUUUUCGCAGUCCCUCGUAGUAGAUUAGGUGUUAACUUCGAAAACUACCUUGAUUUCUGGGCCAAUGUUAAGGGAGUGCAAUACUUCCGGAAGAUAUACUGCAAGCAGAAAAAGCCAUGGUACUAUCACUACACAAUCGACAGACGGGCGAUUGUGACGGUCUCGCGAAUCCGUUCGAAUCACUAUAGCCUUAAUCAUAGCUUAAAUAGGAAAAACUUAGUUGACGACCCGUCCUGCUCGUGUGGGCAUCCUAUUCAGGAUAUCAAUCAUGUCGUGUUUGACUGUCCUGAGACUGCGAAUCACGCUCAGCCCUUGAGAAACUUCGUUGCGCGUAUAAGCAUUGGUGCCUUUUGCAGAAAAGAUAUUUUUGAAGUGCUUAAAAAACCCUCGGUCCAACUUUGUCGUCUUGUGUCGGCUUUCUGUAAAGCAUGUAAUAUCUUUAUUUAAAACCUUUAAACUCCCGCUUGGCUAAUCUCACGAUGCGCACUCCUGUGAAACUAACUAUCCUACUCCGAUCCCGGCGCCCCCCUCUCUCCCUCCACCCCGCUGCACGCGCCCGUGAGAGAAUACUCGCACUAGUCUCAGCAAGCACGCACGUUUUUGUCGCAAUCGCUAAGUCCCCAUAAACGCUUUCACCUAACCCAUGGAUAUACGACACAGACAUAGAACUUUGGCCGUAUUGACUCUCAGUUGAGAGCAGGUGCCACUACAAAAGAAGAAGAAGAAGAAGAACUCGUUUCCCGAACGCGAGAACAGACGACUGGGCAAUAGAGGUUAUAGCGAGGAAGAAGCGGAGCGACAGCGGAGCUACCGGAUCGAGCGGGGGUCUCUCUGAUCGUCUCGGUCGACGACGGAACUUGAAACUCGCGCGCGUCGCGCGAAAAAUGACGUGCCGCGCGAGCUCGAUCAGUUCUGAUGCGCCGCUGUCAGUGUCAAUGAUAUCGUCACGCUGAAGAUCGACCGCGCGGUCCGUAGACGAGACACGAGGUACAAUGU